rnacentral:rRNA from 1 species
CUUGCGGCAGCCUACACAUGCAAGUCGAACGAGAUCUUCGGAUCUAGUGGGGCAUGGGUGCGUAACGCGUGGGAAUCUGCCCUUGGGCUCCCAAUCACAGUGAAAAAUUACUGCUAAUACCGGAUGAUGUCUUCGGACCAAAGAUUUAUUGCCCAAGGAUGAGCCCGCGUAAGAUUACCUAGUUGGAGGGGUAAUGGCCUACCAAGGCGACCAUCCUUAGCUGGGCUGAGAGGAUGAUCUGACCACUGGGACUGAAACACGGCCCUGACUCCUACGGGAGGCACCAAUGGGGAAUAUUGGACAAUGGGCGAAAGCCUGAUCCAGCAAUGCCGCGUGAGUGAUGAAGGCCUUAGGGUUGUGAAGCUCUUUUACCAGGGAUGAUAAUGACGGUACCUGGAGAAUAAGCUCCGGCUAAAUCCGUGCCAGCACCCGCGGUAAUACGGAGGGAGCUAGCGUUGUUCGGAAUUACUGGUCGUAAAGCGCGCGUAGGCGGCUACUCUAGUCGGAGGUGAAAGCCCGGGGCUCAACCCCGGAACUCCCUUUGAAACUUGGUGACUAGAAUCUUGGACAGGUCAGUGGAAUUCCGAGUGUAAAGGGGAAAUUCGUAGAUAUUCUUAAGAACACCAGUGGCGAAGGCCACUGACUGGACAAGUAUUGUCGCUGAGGUGYGAAAGYGUGGGGAGCAAACAUGAUUAGAUACCCUGGUAGUCCACGCCGUAAACSAUGAUAACUAGCUGUCCGGKGACUUGGUCUUUGGGUGGCGCAUCUAACGCAUUAAGUUAUCCCCCUGGGGAGUACGGUCGCAAGUUUAAAACUCAAAGGAAUUGGGGGGGGCCUGCACAAGGGGGGGAGCAUGGGGUUUAAUUGGAAGCAACGCGCAGAACCUUACCAGCGUUUGCCAUCCUCAUCGGGGAUUUCAGAGAUGAUUUCCGUCAGUUCGGGUGGACGAGCGGCAGGUGCUGCAUGGCAGUCGUCAUCUCGUGUCGUGAGAUGUAGUGUUAAGUCCAGCAACGACCGCAACCCUCGUCAUUAGCCGCCAGCAUUGAGGUGGGCUCUGUGAGGAAAGGGGCGGAGAUAAGGGAGGGGGGGGUGGAGAUGACGUCAUGUUCUCAUGCCCCUUACGCGCUGGGCUACACAUGCGAUACAAGGGCGGUCACAGUGGGCAGCAAUCAGGAGAAGACAAGAUUAUCUACAAAAUCUCUCUCAGUUCGGAGUUUUCUAUACAACUCGAGAGCAAGAAGGGGGAAUCGUUAGUAAUCGCGAAUCAGCAUGCCGCGGAGAAUAUGUUCCCACGCCUUGUACACACCGCCCGUCACCCCAUGGGAGUUGGUUUCCCGAAACGGCGAGCCAACCCCCAAGGAGGCAGCAGACCACGUGGAUCCGGCA